AAAAAGACAAAUCCUGAUUUCCGUGCCCAACGUUUGACCGUCCGUCUUAUUUAAAAAAAUUAUGAAAAAAAAUUAAAAAACUUCAGUGCGUAUUUUAUAAUUAGUAUAAAAUAGUAGAUACAACAAUGAAAAUAUGAAUUAUAAAAAAAUUUCAUAUAAGGCGGAUAGUCAAAGUUAAACACGGAAAUCCAGGGUUUGAUUUUUU
rfam:Oryza meridionalis cultivar OR44 (W2112) chromosome 7, whole genome shotgun sequence.